GUCUGGUUGGCUCAGUUGAUAGAGCAUGAGGCUCUUGAUCUCGGGGUCAUGAGUCCAAGCCCCACAUUGGAUG
rnacentral:tRNA from 1 species